rnacentral:rRNA from 1 species
GCUGCGAGCGAGAAAGUUGGUGCUUGCACUGUCCGGAAAGCGGCGAACGGGUGAGUAACACGUUGGUAUCUGCCCCCAAGUCAGGGAUAGCCAUUGGAAACGAUGAUUAAUACCGGAUAGUCUCUACGGAGUAAAAAUUUAUUGCUUGGGGAGGAACCUGCGGUCUAUCAGCUAGUUGGUGAGAUAAAAGCUCACCAAGGCUAUGACGGAUAUCUGGUCUGAGAGGAUGACCAGACACAAUGGAACUGAGACACGGUCCAUACUCCUACGGGAGGCAG